AGGGACGUAGCUCAUGGAAAGAGCGUUUGCUUUGCAUGCAGAAGGUCACAGGUUCGAUUCCUGACAUCCCCA